UUGGAGGGCAAGUCUGGUGCCAGCAGCCGCGGUAAUUCCAGCUCCAAUAGCGUAUAUUAAAGUUGUUGCAGUUAAAAAGCUCGUAGUUGAAUUUCGGGAUCAGAUUGUCGGUCGUGCCUCGGUACGCACUGGCAUUAUUGGUUCCUACCUUCUGAAGAACCGCGAUGUCAUUAAUUUGGUGUCGUGGGGAAUCAGGACUGUUACUUUGAAAAAAUUAGAGUGUUUAAAGCAGGCGCACGCUUGAAUACAUUAGCAUGGAAUAAUGAAAUAGGACGUUUGAUUCUAUUUUGUUGGUUUCUAGGAUCGACGUAAUGAUUAAUAGGGAUAGUUGGGGGCAUUAGUAUUCAAUUGUCAGAGGUGAAAUUCUUGGAUUUAUUGAAGACUAACUACUGCGAAAGCAUUUGCCAAGGAUGUUUUCAUUAAUCAAGAACGAAAGUUAGGGGAUCGAAGACGAUCAGAUACCGUCGUAGUCUUAACCAUAAACUAUGCCGACUAGGAAUCAGACGAUGUUAAUUUCUUAAUGACUCGUUCGGCGCCUUACGGGAAAC
rnacentral:rRNA from 1 species